rnacentral:rRNA from 1 species
CUAUUCCUACGGGGCGCAGCAGUGAGGAAUAUUGGUCAAUGGGCGGAAGCCUGAACCAGCCAAGUCGCGUGAGGGAAUAAGGCCCUACGGGUCGUAAACCUCUUUUGCCGGGGAGCAAGGGCCGGGACGAGUCCCGGUCCGGAGAGUACCCGGAGAAAAAGCAUCGGCUAACUCCGUGCCAGCAGCCGCGGUAAUACGGAGGAUGCGAGCGUUAUCCGGAUUUAUUGGGUUUAAAGGGUGCGUAGGCGGGCUUUUUAAUCAGCGGUAAAAAUUCGGGGCUCAACCCCGUCCGGCCGUUGAAACUG